AUGCUCACUUCGGCAGCACAUGUACUGAAACUGGAACAAUAUAGAGGAGAGUAGCGUAGCCCCUGCACAAGGAUGACAUGCAAGUUAGCGUAGCAUUCUAUAUUUAA